rnacentral:tRNA from 1 species
GGGCGGAUUCCCGAGUGGCCAAAGGGGACAGACUGUAAAUCUGUUGCGACACGCUUCGGUGGUUCGAAUCCACCUCCGCCCA